UACGUAGGGCGCAAGCGUUGUCCGGAAUUAUUGGGCGUAAAGAGCUCGUAGGCGGUCUGUUGCGUCCGCUGUGAAAACCCAGGGCUUAACCCUGGGCUUGCAGUGGAUACGGGCAGACUAGAGGCAGGUAGGGGAGACUGGAAUUCCUGGUGUAGCGGUGAAAUGCGCAGAUAUCAGGAGGAACACCGGUGGCGAAGGCGGGUCUCUGGGCAGUAACUGACGCUGAGGAGCGAAAGCGUGGGGAGCGAACACG
rnacentral:rRNA from 1 species